GAAGAAACAAACUCUACACCUUAGAUAACCUGUGGGGCCAGCGAGGGAAAGAGGGAUUCAGUGGAGGAAAUCCUGCACCCAUCUGAGUCCCAGUCUCCCAUGAGAAAUUAUUCCUGGCUCACUUGCUGUGAGCAGAAGCUGGAGAUAUACGCUCAUACUGUAAUUACAGGAUGCAUGGAGCAUGACCUGUCAGACUGAGAGAAGUGCCUCGGUCGCUCCUUCAUCCUUCUCUCUUUCUCUCCGCACUGAUGUGUGUCCACAGCCCACUCUUGAACCACCUGGAGGCCUGUGUGUGUGUGUGUGUGUGUGUGUGUGUGUGUUGUAUAGUGGAUGACAGGCGCUCUCACUCUCGCUGUGGGUCACUGUCAGAGAGGCAGCAGGUGUUACACAGAUUCUCCAGCCAGAUGAAUCCACAUUCUCAUGCCUGUUUACUCAUUUGAUCAGUAUUCAUGGUUAAUUCAAUUAGAAAUUCUGAAUAUUAAAAUCAGGCUUUAAAAAGUCAUAGGUCAUAGUG